rnacentral:rRNA from 1 species
UACGUAGGGUGCAAGCGUUGUCCGGAAUUAUUGGGCGUAAAGAGCUUGUAGGCGGUUUGUCGCGUCUGCUGUGAAAUUUCGGGGCUCAACCCCGGACUUGCAGUGGGUACGGGCAGACUAGAGUGUGGUAGGGGAGGCUGGAAUUCCUGGUGUAGCGGUGAAAUGCGCAGAUAUCAGGAGGAACACCGAUGGCGAAGGCAGGUCUCUGGGCCAUAACUGACGCUGAGAAGCGAAAGCAUGGGGAGCGAACAGG